AUUGAACGCUGGCGGCAGGCCUAACACAUGCAAGUCGAGCGAGAAAGGUCUUCGGACUGAGUACAGCGGCGGACGGGUGAGUAAAGCGUAGGAAUCUACCUGGUAGUGGGGGAUAACUUGGGGAAACUCAAACUAAUACCGCAUACGCCCUACGGGGAAAGCGGGGACCUUCGGGCCUCGCGCUAUCAGAUGAGCCUGCGUAGGAUUAGCUAGUUGGUGAGGUAAAGGCUCACCAAGGCGACGAUCCUUAGCUGGUCUGAGAGGAUGAUCAGCCACACUGGGACUGAGACACGGCCCAGACUCCUACGGGAGGCAGCAGUGGGGAAUAUUGCGCAAUGGGCGAAAGCCUGACGCAGCCAUGCCGCGUGUGUGAGAAGGCCUUAGGGUUGUAAAGCACUUUCAAUUGGGAGAAAGUUGGUCGUUAAUAGCGGCCAGCCCUGACAUUACCUUUAGAAGAAGGACCGGCUAACUCCGUGCCAGCAGUCCGCGGUAAAGUCGUACGA
rnacentral:rRNA from 1 species